AUUCCUACGGGAGGCAGCAGUGGGGAAUCUUGCGCAAUGGGGAAACCCUGACGCAGCGACGCCGCGUGGAUGAUGAAGGCCUUUGGGUUGUAAAAUCCUGUUCUGGGGGAAGAAACCUUAAGGGUCCAAUAAGCCCUUAAGCUGACGGUACCCCAAGAGAAAGCUCCGGCUAAUUAUGUGCCAGCAGCCGCGGUAAUACAUAAGGAGCAAGCGUUAUCCGGAAUUAUUGGGCGUAAAGGGCUCGUAGGCGGUCUUAAAAGUCAGGUGUAAAAUUAUCAGGCUCAACCUGAUAAGGUCAUCUGAAACUUUAAGACUUGAGGAUAGAAGAGGAAAGUGGAAUUCCCGGUGUAGCGGUGAAAUGCGUAGAUAUCGGGAGGAACACCAGUGGCGAAGGCGGCUUUCUGGUCUAUCUCUGACGUUGAGGAGCGAAAGCUAGGGGAGCAAACGGGAUUAGAUACCCCGGUAGUCCUAGCUGUAAACGAUGGAUACUAGGUGUGGGAGGUAUCGACCCCUUCUGUGCCGCAGCUAACGCAUUAAGUAUCCCGCCUGGGGAGUACGGUCGCAUGGCUGAAACUCAAAGGAAUUGACGGGGGCCCGCACAAGCGGUGGAGCAUGUGGUUUAAUUCGACGCAACGCGAAGAACCUUACCGGGACUUGACAUUAUCUUGUCAGUCUAAGAAAUUAGAUCUUCUUCCUUUCGGGGAAGACAGGAUAACAGGUGGUGCAUGGUUGUCGUCAGCUCGUGUCGUGAGAUGUUGGGUUAAGUCCCACAACGAGCGCAACCCUUAUGCUUAGUUGCUAACUUGUUUUACAAGUGCACUCUAAGCAGACUGCCGCAGAUAAUGCGGAGGAAGGUGGGGAUGACGUCAAAUCAUCAUGCCCCUUACGUCCCGGGCUACACACGUGCUACAAUGGCCUGUACAAAGGGUAGCGAAAGAGCGAUCUUAAGCCAAUCCCAAAAAGCAGGUCCCAGUUGGAUUGGAGGCGCAACUCGCCUCUAUGAAGUAGGAAUCGCUGUAAUCGCGGAUCAGCACGCCGCGGUAAAUACGUUCCCGGGCCUUGUACACACCGCCAUCCAUAUGAAUAGUAGAUCCUC
rnacentral:rRNA from 1 species